CCUACGGGAGGCAGCAGUAGGGAAUCUUCCACAAUGGACGAAAGUCUGAUGGAGCAACGCCGCGUGAGUGAAGAAGGGUUUCGGCUCGUAAAGCUCUGUUGGUAGUGAAGAACGAUAGAGGUAGUAACUGGCUUUUAUUUGACGGUAAUUACUUAGAAAGUCACGGCUAACUACGUGCCAGCAGCCGCGGUAAUACGGAGGUGGCAAGCGUUGUCCGGAUUUAUUGGGCGUAAAGCGAGUGCAGGCGGUUCAAUAAGUCUGAUGUGAAAGCCUUCGGCUCAACCGGAGAAUUGCAUCAGAAACUGGUGAACUUGAGUGCAGAAGAGGGGAGUGGAACUCCAGGUGUAGCGGUGAAAUGCGUAGAUAUAUGGAAGAACACCAGUGGCGAAGGCGGCUCUCUGGUCUGCAACUGACGCUGAGGUGCGAAAGCAUGGGUAGCGAACAGGAUUAGAUACCCGUGUAGUC
rnacentral:rRNA from 1 species